rnacentral:pre_miRNA from 1 species
GUGACAGAAGAGAGUGAGCACACGCAGGCAAUUGUAUGAAGGGCAUGCCUUUGCGGGUGCGUGCUCACUUCUCUUCUGUCAG